UGCAUUGGUGGUAUAGUGGUGAGCAUAGCUGCCUUCCAAGCAGUUGACCCGGGUUCGAUUCCCGGCAAAGCAGCAA